rnacentral:piRNA from 1 species
UGAAACAAAGGUGGUUGUAGAAUUUGUUU